UAUCGAGCCGCCCGUCUUUAUCUUUCAUUUCAAUUCCUAUAAAAAUAAUAUUCAAUUUUAUAUGAACUGACAACUGUAAACUAAACCACGAAAUGCUCUAUUAUUGGACCCGAUACAUGAGCGGGACAAUUUGCAAAUCUUGACAACAGAUUAUAAAUUAUAACAAUGGCUGAUUGUAGAAAAAGAUUAAGUGGACACGAGUACAAAAAAUAGUCGAAAUUAAAGGACGAAAGGGAAAAAAAUAUUCUAAAUAAAACUCCAAUAUUGCAUACGUAUUUAAAAAAAACCCUGAUUCUGAUUCAAACGGUAGUAAAAGCACAGAAACAGAAACUCAACAAGUCGAAAUAAAUACAACUCUUGAUAAUAAUGAAAAAAUGUAGUCACAGUAAACAAUUUCAAUGAAUUCGAACAUUUGUUUCCAAUUUUUUUCAAACCGAUCCCGAUAAAUGGUUAAUUAAUGAAUCUUUUCGUAACUAUGUGGCAAAACAUGGCUUAAAUCUAAACCUAACCGAUGAUUUUUCUUCUUCCAUUCGAAAAUAUAAUGACAAAACACGGUAUUUAACAAAAGCCUUAUUUCAGAGGAAAAUGGUAAAUGGUGAACUUGCAUUACUUUCUUGGCUUGUAUAUUUUAAAAGUAAAGGGGGUUAUAAUGACUGGGAAAAUGCCAAUCAGCGUUUCAAUUAGCAUGAAAAUAGUCAAGAACACAAAAAAUCAAUUAUAGCACUAAAAUUACAAAGUAAAGAACUCGGAAAAAUUGAUAACAGUUUAGUAAUACAACUACAGGAAGAGACUAUCUACUGGAGAAAUGUUUUAAAAGGGUAGUUGCUACAAUAAAGUCAUUAACUUCUCGUGGAUGAUCGUUACGUGGCCAUAACUCUAAUUUUGGCUAUAAUCACAAUGGAAACUAUAUGACGUCUUUAGAGCUAAUAGCUCAAUUCGAUCCAUUUUUAAC